GUAUCAAUGACUUUGCCAACUAUUUCCAGAAAAAUCGAGGAACUCAUGUAAGGAUGGCGGUAAUCCUGAAAAUCUUUUGAUAUUUAUUAUCUGCACAAAUAACUAUGAGUUCAUAACUAUGAGUACGGCCAUUCUUUGAAUCUUUUUAAGACUUCUGAGGAGAAAGAAAGAUACCUUCUAUGCCAGCCCACCUAAAGGUUAUCAGCUUCCCUGGGAACUAUACCUCAACAAGGAUGAGGGAUGUGCCUCAAAGAUAGAAGCCAUCCCAAGGAAAGCUUCCCAACGAUCUAUCUUUUCUGCUCAACAGCACGCACUCUCUAAGGACUCAUGCAAUCUCGGCACAGGAUGGAUCAUUUGUUCUGCUGCAUAUUUUUCAACAUUGCCAUCCAGCCAGGGGCCUAAAGCAUAGAUGAGAGCAUCAUGACUAUGGGCCAAAGUAAACCUUUCUUCUCUUUAUGAAUGGAUCCUCCCAGAUACAUGUGGAAUUGGAGAGACCCGAUGGUGCUGUGGAGAUGAGCAAGAAGGGGUUACAGCCAUAACUACACACUUAUUUGGAGAUCUGCAAGGGCUCCAAGCCCGACAGAGGGGACACUCUCUGUCCUCACU
ensembl:lncRNA